UACGUAGGGGGCAAGCGUUGUCCGGAAUUAUUGGGCGUAAAGAGCGUGUAGGCGGUCCGGUAAGUCAGCUGUGAAAGUCAAGGGCUCAACCCUUGAAUGCCGGUUGAUACUGUCGGGCUAGAGUCCGGAAGAGGCGAGUGGAAUUCCCGGUGUAGCGGUGAAAUGCGCAGAUAUCGGGAGGAACACCAAUGGCGAAGGCAGCUCUCUGGGACGGUACUGACGCUGAGACGCGAAAGCGUGGGGAGCAAACAGG
rnacentral:rRNA from 1 species